GCACCUGUAACAAUUGUAGACAAAAGAAGGCAUGGACACAAUGUUGCCGAGGCAACAAGUAGUAUUAUAGCGGGAUGAAUGGGCGCGAGUGGAAGAACGGCUUAACUUGUUUUACAUUCUUGUCCACAGUGGGUAUAUGAGCAGCUAACUAGGAUGCAUAGUAAGAAAAUACUCAUCGAGGCUCUUUUGUAGUUGGUUACGGUUUAUCCACUGCUAGUCAAUCUGCUGGAAAUGUAUAUUGCAUAUGGACAUGUGCUGCUUCACAAGGUAAUGAAUCUGAUUGGAGAUGUUAAGAGGAAAAGUGUCUGUUGUGAUGGAUGAUAUGAUUGAUACAGCAGGAACUAUUGCCAAAGGAGAUGAGAUGCUGCAUCAAGGAGCAAGAGAAGUCUAUGCAUGCUGUACACAUGCUGUUUAGCCCACCCGCCAUCGAGAGAUUAUCAAGUGGUUUGUUUCAAGAAGUAAUCAUCACAAACACUAUCCCUUCGAAGAAGCAUUGAAGACUUUGCCGAGCGAGG